AUUGAACGCUGGCGGCAUGCCUUACACAUGCAAGUCGAACGGUAACGGGCCUUCGGGUGCCGACGAGUGGCGAACGGGUGAAGUAAUGCAUCGGAACGUACCUUUCAGUGGGGGAUAACGUAGCGAAAGUUACGCUAAUACCGCAUAUUCUGUGAGCAGGAAAGCAGGGGAUCGCAAGACCUUGCGCUGAUUGAGCGGCCGAUGUCAGAUUAGCUAGUUGGUGAGGUAAAGGCUCACCAAGGCGACGAUCUGUAGCGGGUCUGAGAGGAUGAUCCGCCACACUGGAACUGAGACACGGUCCAGACUCCUACGGGAGGCAGCAGUGGGGAAUUUUGGACAAUGGGGGCAACCCUGAUCCAGCCAUGCCGCGUGAGUGAAGAAGGCCUUCGGGUUGUAAAGCUCUUUCGGCCGGGAAGAAAUCGUAUGGGUUAAUACCCUGUGCGGAUGACGGUACCGGCAUAAGAAGCACCGGCUAACUACGUG
rnacentral:rRNA from 1 species